CCCAAAUCCAAAAAAGAGGGGGCCCAAUGGCCCAAAAACUUAAACCAAUUUCAAAAAGCCAAAAACCCUAGGGUUUCUGGCACCGCUGCCCUUUUGCCACGUCAGCACUCCUCGUCCCAAGGCCUGACACUUUUUUUGUCGCCGUUUCACCAAAAUAGCCAAGGGUCUGCCUUUUCAUCAUCGUUUACUCUCCAAGGAUACCUACAAAAGAAUGAAAAAAGGACAGAGACCAUGCACAAGCAACAGACGCAGAACAGUAAUAGAAACAACAACAUAAAAUAGUAAACAAUGUUGUAAAUCAGUUAUAAAAGCCACCACAAUUAAUGUAAUAUGGGAGACAAAAAAAAAAGAAGAGUAAUCAAAAACAAAGUUCAAAAAUCCAAAAGGUGAUUUUUUUUAUCUUUUAUUUUUGAAAACAUAUAAAAAUAAUAAAAUAAAAACGAAAUCUAUUUACCUAUAUCACCAUAUUCUCCCUCCGUUUGGAAAGACCGACAGAUCCUCGGGGUUCGUCGAAUGGUCUCGACAAAAGAAGAUAGAACCGAAAGGUUUCCUUUGAUUUUCUUUUUUUUGGUGGGCUUUUCGGGAAUUUUGGUCUCAAAUCGGGGAUGAGGGAAGUAAAAAGGUUAGAAUGGGCCUUUUCUUCGUAAUUUUCAACCACCAGGGACGACGGCCACCGUCACCGACUACCAGUGGUUGCGGUGGACCAACGGAGGACCUUUAGGCCGGAUUUAAAGAUAUGAGAGAAAGAAAUUUUUAAAAAAAAACAAUAGGUAGAAUGAAUUUUUGGUAAAAUUUUAUGGCUCUUAUAGGUGAUGUAAACGACGUUGUUUAGGGUUGGCUUUAAUAGCCCCAAAAUGGCACCGUUUUGGCCUUCAACCAGACGACCCGACUCAAUUUCUUGGCAGAUCCACUUGUUUUUGUGACUGGGGUAUAAUUGCUACCUUAGUCCUUCCGCUUUUUAGGCGGUUUUCAAUCUGGUCUCGUUUCUUUUAUUUAAAAUUUUUACCCUAUAAUUUUAGUUUCAUUUUAUUUUUGUCCCCUAUAGAAUGUGCGUUUAGUGAGCUUGGGAAUAAUUUCCCAACUGGUCCUUGCCCUUUUACGCGCGUUAUAUUUUGGACCAUUUUGAGAAACGAUGCGCAUAAGGACAAGGGAUAUUUUCCUAUUUGCUCACUGUCCUUUUUAGCGCGUUGCACAUUAAUCCUUAUUAAUCUAUUUAUUUAUUUUAUUACAAAUUACACCCUUAAUUUCAUUUACAUUUUGAUUUAGUCUCUUAUUUUCAAUCUUUUAUAAACUACUUUCCUUUAUAUUUAUUUAUUUAUUUAUUUCCUUAUUCUUUUUAUAUUUAAAAUUUGUAUUGUUUUCUUAUAUGCAUAUUUUAUCGCCCUAUUAUUAUUGUUGUUGUUGUUUAUUUAUUUUCUUUGUUUAUUUAUAUUAGUAUUAGAAUAGUAAAUAUUAUGUGAUUAUCGCUAUUAUAUUUGUUAUGAAUUGGUUUCAUUAGUAUAUUUAUAUUAUUGUCAUUCACUAAGCGUGACAUUUUUACUUUUCGUAUACCAUCGUUCCAUUUUUUAUACAUUACCAUUUUAUUUUAUUUCAUUAAAAUCACAUCAUGCAUCAUGUUUAGACAUAUUUACCCAUUGUUGUAUUAUACCCAAAUAAGAUAGAUACACGUUAUUUUAAAUAUUACAUUUGUCGUUACUCGAUGAAUAGCUUUUUUUAGAAAAAUAAAGCAAUGUUCCAUAUUUGGAUAUUCGAGAAGUCGUGCCCUAACUUACAGGGUUUCAACUUUCUCGAUGAACUUAGAUGACCGAAUAUCCUUUUAAAAUUAAAAUACAUGAGAUUUAAUUAAAUAAUAAAAUAAAAAGCAAGCUUAUUUUUCGAGGAUUCAAGAUGUCGUGUCUUAACUUACGGGAUGUGAGCUUUUGUUACCUCGAGAUAAAAGGCCCUUUUACAUAUGUUUUAAUUAAAAAUAAUAUUAUGCAAAGUGGGGUCAUGUCUUAAGCUCUUUUCAAAUUUUCAAUUUCUUGACACUAAAGACAUUAGUUACCAAUUUUGGGCAAAACAAGGGUGCUAAUCAUUUUUCGUGUGUAACCGACUCCCGAACCUAUUUUCUGGAUUUUGUAGACUGUAAAACAUUGUUUUAACAAAUUAAAUCUCUUAUUAAAAUGAUUAUAUUUCAAGGUAACCCAAUCACACAUCCUGAAAGUGAUUGGUGACGAAUCCAUCUUUGUUUUCAAAAUAUAAGUCAAUGUAAAAAAAAAAGGUUUCGACAAACUUUUAACUCUUAAAUAAAAUUUGAGAUUUCUUACUCAAUAAUGCUUCAAUGGUAUCUGGCUUUCGCACUGACCGUCAGGAUGGGUGAGGAGUGUUACAUUAUCUCUGAGCAUUUUCUCACUUGUUGCUAAUGUAUUAUCAGGACAUCCUGUGCUGAGAUAUCCCAUGAUAUUUCAACAAAGAAGAGGAAGGAAAUUGUCGAGCGAGCAGCACAGUUGGAUGCUGUUGAAACCAACAAAUUGGCUAGGUUGCGCAGCCAAGAAGACGAGUGAAGAUUGAUCCUCCUCGAAUGUUGGUUUUGCAUUUUGGUAAUAUUUGAUCGUUUAGUAAGUUUCAGAACUUCGGAUCAAAUGUUUUCAAGUAUCUUUAUUUCACUUGAAUUGCAUGUUUCCCUACCAUGAUUGAGUUAUCUAAUUUCAAGUAUCUUCAAUCCAUUUGGUUUUUACAAUUUCGUCCACUACAAGUAUCUCACAGGUAUUUGUCUACAUCAACUUUAAUAUACGCAGUUAGAUGUAGG
rnacentral:lncRNA from 1 species